UACGAAGGGGGCUAGCGUUGCUCGGAAUCACUGGGCGUAAAGGGUGCGUAGGCGGGUCUUUGAGUCAGGGGUGAAAUCCUGGAGCUCAACUCCAGAACUGCCUUUGAUACUGAGGAUCUUGAGUUCGGGAGAGGUGAGUGGAACUGCGAGUGUAGAGGUGAAAUUCGUAGAUAUUCGCAAGAACACCAGUGGCGAAGGCGGCUCACUGGCCCGAUACUGACGCUGAGGCACGAAAGCGUGGGGAGCAAACAGG
rnacentral:rRNA from 1 species